rnacentral:rRNA from 1 species
UACGUAGGUGGCAAGCGUUGUCCGGAUUUACUGGGCGUAAAGGGCGUGCAGGCGGUUUGUUAAGUGCAGAGUGAAAGCUCCCGGCUCAACUGGGAGAGGUCUUUGCAUACUGGCAAACUCGAGGGAGGCAGAGGAAAGUGGAAUUCCCGGUGUAGUGGUGAUAUGCGUAGAUAUCGGGAGGAACACCUGUGGCGAAGGCGGCUAUCUGGACGGUUUCUGACACUAAGACUCGAAAGCGUGGGGAGCAAACAGG